GAUCAUGGCUCAGAUUGAACGCUGGCGGCAGGCCUAACACAUGCAAGUCGAACGGUAACAGGAAGCAGCUUGCUGCUUUGCUGACGAGUGGCGGACGGGUGAGUAAUGUCUGGGAAACUGCCUGAUGGAGGGGGAUAACUACUGGAAACGGUGGCUAAUACCGCAUAACGUCGCAAGACCAAAGAGGGGGACCUUCGGGCCUCUUGCCAUCAGAUGUGCCCAGAUGGGAUUAGCUUGUUGGUGAGGUAACGGCUCACCAAGGCGACGAUCCCUAGCUGGUCUGAGAGGAUGACCAGCCACACUGGAACUGAGACACGGUCCAGACUCCUACGGGAGGCAGCAGUGGGGAAUAUUGCACAAUGGGCGCAAGCCUGAUGCAGCCAUGCCGCGUGUAUGAAGAAGGCCUUCGGGUUGUAAAGUACUUUCAGCGGGGAGGAAGGUGUUGUGGUUAAUAACCGCAGCAAUUGACGUUACCCGCAGAAGAAGCACCGGCUAACUCCGUGCCAGCAGCCGCGGUAAUACGGAGGGUGCAAGCGUUAAUCGGAAUUACUGGGCGUAAAGCGCACGCAGGCGGUCUGUCAAGUCGGAUGUGAAAUCCCCGGGCUCAACCUGGGAACUGCAUUCGAAACUGGCAGGCUUGAGUCUUGUAGAGGGGGGGUAGAAUUCCAGGUGUAGCGGUGAAAUGCGUAGAGAUCUGGAGGAAUACCGGUGGCGAAGGCGGCCCCCUGGACAAAGACUGACGCUCAGGUGCGAAAGCGUGGGGAGCAAACAGGAUUAGAUACCCU
rnacentral:rRNA from 1 species